rnacentral:rRNA from 1 species
UUGCUGGUGUGGAUGAGUGGCGAACGGGUGAGUAAUACGUGAGUAACCUGCCCUUGACUCUGGGAUAAGCCCGGGAAACUGGGUCUAAUACUGGAUGCUACAUGUCACCGCAUGGUGGUGUGUGGAAAGGGUUUACUGGUCUUGGAUGGGCUCACGGCCUAUCAGCUUGUUGGUGAGGUAAUGGCUCACCAAGGCGACGACGGGUAGCCGGCCUGAGAGGGUGACCGGCCACACUGGGACUGAGACACGGCCCAGACUCCUACGGGAGGCAGCAGUGGGGAAUAUUGCACAAUGGGCGAAAGCCUGAUGCAGCGACGCCGCGUGAGGGAUGACGGCCUUCGGGUUGUAAACCUCUUUCAGCAGGGAAGAAGCCACAAGUGACGGUACCUGCAGAAAAAGCGCCGGCUAACUACGUGCCAGCAGCCGCGGUAAUACGUAGGGCGCAAGCGUUGUCCGGAAUUAUUGGGCGUAAAGAGCUCGUAGGCGGUUUGUCGCGUCUGCUGUGAAAGCCCGGGGCUUAACCCCGGGUGUGCAGUGGGUACGGGCAGACUAGAGUGCAGUAGGGGAGACUGGAAUUCCUGGUGUAGCGGUGGAAUGCGCAGAUAUCAGGAGGAACACCGAUGGCGAAGGCAGGUCUCUGGGCUGUUACUGACGCUGAGGAGCGAAAGCAUGGGGAGCGAACAGGAUUAGAUACCCUGGUAGUCCAUGCCGUAAACGUUGGGCACUAGGUGUGGGGGACAUUCCACGUUUUCCGCGCCGUAGCUAACGCAUUAAGUGCCCCGCCUGGGGGAGUACGGCCGCAAGGCUAAAACUCAAAGGAAUUGACGGGGGGCCCGCACAAGCGGCCGGAGCAUGCGGGAUUAAUUUCGAUGCAACCGCGAAAAAACCUUUACCAAGGGCUUGACAUGAUACCGGAAUCGUUUCCAGAAGAUGGGUUCUUCCCCUUUUGGGGGUCG